GGGGAAAAAAAAAAAAAAAGAAAAGGCUGUUUGUGAUUAUGGAGGUGAAAAGUAUCUGCUUGUUGGAGAAAUUGGUCGGCGACGCUGAUUCUUUGGCAGCAUAAGGAGGGGAAAGAAUUGGCAUUUUCAGAUGACCUGCCGUCGAUGGUUACUGGUUUCCGGGUCGUGCAUUCUUGGGAUGACAAACCCGUUUAGUAUCAGAUCGGUUUUUGUGACCCGGUCAACCAUUUGGCUUUUUGCGGUUUUUUUUUUGCCAACUAGAAAUG
rnacentral:misc_RNA from 1 species